rnacentral:rRNA from 1 species
GGGCCCGCACAAGCGGUGGAGCAUGUGGUUUAAUUCGAUGCAACGCGAAGAACCUUACCAAGGCUUGACAUACUACAAAUUUCUUUGAAAAAGGAAAGUGCCUUCGGGAAUGUAGAUACAGGUGGUGCAUGGCUGUCGUCAGCUCGUGUCGUGAGAUGUUGGGUUAAGUCCCGCAACGAGCGCAACCCUUAUUUUUAGUUGCCAAUUUAUUGGGUUCUCUAGAAAGACUGCCGGUGACAAACCGGAGGAAGGUGAGGAUGACGUCAAGUCAGCAUGCCCCUUAUGCCUUGGGCUACACACGUGCUACAAUGGCAUUUACAGAGGGAAGCGAGACAGUGAUGUGGAGCGGACCCCUUAAAGAAUGUCGUAGUCCGGAUUGGAGUCUGCAACUCGACUCCAUGAAGUCGGAAUCGCUAGUAAUCG